rnacentral:rRNA from 1 species
ACGUAGGGUGCGAGCGUUAAUCGGGAUUACUGGGCGUAAAGUGUGCGCAGGCGGCGCUGCAAGUCGAGUGUGAAAUCCCCGAGCUUAACUUGGGAAUUGCGCUCGAAACUACGGCGCUGGAGUAUGGCAGAGGAAGGUGGAAUUCCACGUGUAGCAGUGAAAUGCGUAGAGAUGUGGAGGAACACCGAUGGCGAAGGCAGCCCCCUGGGCCAAUACUGACGCUCAUGCACGAAAGCGUGGGGAGCAAACAGGA